rnacentral:rRNA from 1 species
GCAAGUCGAGGGGUAACAUUGUAGCUUGCUACCUGCUGACGACCGGCGCACGGGUGAGUAACGCGUAUAGAAUCUACCUUGUACUGGAGAAUAACCAGAAGAAAUUCUGACUAAUACUCCAUAGUAUGUAUGGGCUUCAUGGCCUUUACAUUAAAGAUUUAUCGGUAUAAGAUGACUAUGCGUUCUAUUAGCUAGAUGGAGUGGUAACGGCACCCCAUGGCAACGAUAGAUAGGGGCCCUGAGAGGGGGAUC